CAGCCGCCGCGGUAAUACGUAGGUGGCAAGCGUUGUCCGGAAUUAUUGGGCGUAAAGCGCGCGCAGGCGGCCUAUCCAGUCUGUCUUAAAAGUUCGGGGCUCAACCCCGUGAUGGGAUGGAAACUAGUAGGCUAGAGUAUCGGAGAGGAAAGCGGAAUUCCUAGUGUAGCGGUGAAAUGCGUAGAUAUUAGGUGGAACACCAGUGGCGAAGGCGGCUUUCUGGACGAAAACUGACGCUGAGGCGCGAAAGCCAGGGGAGCGAACGGGAUUAGAUACCCCCGUAGUCCCUGUCUCUUAUACA
rnacentral:rRNA from 1 species